rnacentral:tRNA from 1 species
GGAGCAGUAGUUCAGUGGUCAGAAUGUCGGCCUGUCAUGUCGAUGGUCGCGGGUUCAAGUCCCGUCUGCUCCG